CCUACGAGAGGCAGCAGUGAGGAAUAUUGGUCAAUGGUCGUAAGACUGAACCAGCCAAGUCGCGUGAGGGAUGAAGGUUCUGUGGAUCGUAAACCUCUUUUAUCAGGGAAUAAAGUGUGGGACGUGUCCUGUGUUGUAUGUACCUGAUGAAUAAGGAUCGGCUAACUCAGUGCCAGCAGCCGCGGUAAUACGGAGGAUCCGAGCGUUAUCCGGAUUUAUUGGGUUUAAAGGGUGCGUAGGCGGCCUUUUAAGUCAGCGGUGAAAGGCUGUUGCUCAACCAUAGAAUUGCCGUUGAAACUGGGAGUCUUGAGUUUGUUUGAGGCAGGCGGAAUGCGUGGUGUAGCGGUGAAAUGCUUAGAGAUCACGCAGAACCCCGAUUGCGAAGGCAGCCUGCCAAGCCAUGACUGACGCUGAUGCACGAAAGCGUGGGUAUCAAACAGGAUUAGAUACCCUUGUAGUC
rnacentral:rRNA from 1 species